rnacentral:tRNA from 1 species
GCCCAGGUGGCGGAAUUGGCAGACGCGCCAGCUUGAGGUGCUGGUCCCGGUAUCCGGGGUGGAGGUUCGAAUCCUCUCCUGGGCA